rnacentral:rRNA from 1 species
GAUGAACGCUGGCGGCGUGCCCAAUACAUGCAAGUCGAGCGAACAGACGAGGAGCUUGCUCCUCUGACGUUAGCGGCGGACGGGUGAGUAACACGUGGAUAACCUACCUAUAAGACUGGGAUAACUUCGGGAAACCGGAGCUAAUACCGGAUAAUAUAUUGAACCGCAUGGUUCAAUAGUGAAAGACGGUUUUGCUGUCACUUAUAGAUGGAUCCGCGCCGCAUUAGCUAGUUGGUAAGGUAACGGCUUACCAAGGCAACGAUGCGUAGCCGACCUGAGAGGGUGAUCGGCCACACUGGAACUGAGACACGUUCCAGACUCCUACGGGAGGCAGCAGUAGGGAAUCUGCCGCAAGGGGCGAAAGCCUGACGGAGCAACGCCGCGUGAGUGAGGAAGGUCUGCGGAUCGUAAAACUCUGUUACUAGGGAAGAACAAAUGUGUAAGUAACGAUGCACGUCUGGACGGUACCUAAUCAGAAAGCCACGGCGAACUACGU